AAACUUCUAAAGAAAAAUGAAGAAAGGCUAAAUUUCCCGAUCAGCAUGGAUAAACUAACUAUUCGAUAUAGCACGCAUAGGCGACAAAAUGGAAUUCAGUUAAACUUUAUUUGGCAAAGUCAUGGAAACAAGAAUUAUGAACUACGUUGACAGAUUAGGUCAUUUCCUGCACUAAUGAAGUAAGUGGGGACUGGAAAUGGGAAGGGAAGAUCAAAUUUGCUCAAAGAUGCUAUCUCAUUAAUGAGUCAAGCUAUCUGGAUCAGUAGACAUUCAAAUUUGACUUCACUUUAAAUGAGCCUGAACACAAGUAGCUCAAUAACAAGUCUAGGGGUGUGUAAUCAGCCGAUUCGGUUUCAAACCAAACCAAACCGCACUAACCAAAAAUUAAAAUUAUAAGAACCAAACUAUAAAAGAAACUGAAUUGAUUUGGUUCACCAG
rnacentral:misc_RNA from 1 species